GACGAACGCUGGCGGCGUGCUUAACACAUGCAAGUCGAACGGAAAGGCCCUGCUUGCAGGGUACUCGAGUGGCGAACGGGUGAGUAACACGCGGGUGAUCUGCCCUGCACUUCGGGAUAAGCCUGGGAAACUGGGUCUAAUACCGGAUAGGAGCCAUUUUUAGUGUGAUGGUUGGAAAGUUUUUUCGGUGUAGGGUGAGCUCGCGGGCUAUCAGCUUGGUGGUGGGGUAAUGGCCUACCAAGGCGGCGACGGGUAGCCGGCCUGAGGGGGUGGACGGCCACAUUGGGGCUGAGGUACGGCCCAGGCUCCUACGGGAGGCAACAGUGGGGAAUAUUGCACAAUGGGCGCGAGCCUGGUGCAGCGACGCCGCGGGGGGGAUGACGGCCUUCGGGUUGUAAACUCCUUUCGCUAGGGACGAAGCUUUUUGUGACGGUACCUAGAUAAGAAGCACCGGCUAACUACGUG
rnacentral:rRNA from 1 species